rnacentral:ncRNA from 2 species
AGAACUACUCGCGGGAGUCCGGACGACCGGGCUGAGAGGGAGGCUGACGGCCUUCGACCGUACGAACCUGAUCCGGGUCAUGCCGGCGAAGGGAGGGGCUGGAAGCCCAUG